rnacentral:rRNA from 1 species
AGUGAACGCUGGCGGUAGGCCUAACACAUGCAAGUCGAACGGCAGCACAGUAAGAGCUUGCUCUUACGGGUGGCGAGUGGCGGACGGGUGAGGAAUACAUCGGAAUCUACAUUUUCGUGGGGGAUAACGUAGGGAAACUUACGCUAAUACCGCAUACGACCUACGGGUGAAAGCAGGGGAUCUUCGGACCUUGCGCGAUUGAAUGAGCCGAUGUCGGAUUAGCUAGUUGGCGGGGUAAAGGCCCACCAAGGCGACGAUCCGUAGCUGGUCUGAGAGGAUGAUCAGCCACACUGGAACUGAGACACGGUCCAGACUCCUACGGGAGGCAGCAGUGGGGAAUAUUGGACAAUGGGCGCAAGCCUGAUCCAGCCAUACCGCGUGGGUGAAGAAGGCCUUCGGGUUGUAAAGCCCUUUUGUUGGGAAAGAAAAGCAGCAGGUUAAUACCCCGCUGUUCUGACGGUACCCAAAGAAUAAGCACCGGUUAACUUCGUG